UGGGGAAUAUUGGACAAUGGGCGAAAGCCUGAUCCAGCAAUGCCGCGUGAGUGAUGAAGGCCUUAGGGUUGUAAAGCUCUUUUACCCGGGAUGAUAAUGACAGUACCGGGAGAAUAAGCUCCGGCUAACUCCGUGCCAGCAGCCGCGGUAAUACGGAGGGAGCUAGCGUUGUUCGGAAUUACUGGGCGUAAAGCGCACGUAGGCGGCUUUGUAAGUUAGAGGUGAAAGCCUGGAGCUCAACUCCAGAAUUGCCUUUAAGACUGCAUCGCUCGAAUCCAGGAGAGGUGAGUGGAAUUCCGAGUGUAGAGGUGAAAUUCGUAGAUAUUCGGAAGAACACCAGUGGCGAAGGCGGCUCACUGGACUGGUAUUGACGCUGAGGUGCGAAAGCGUGGGGAGCAAACAGGAUUAGAUACCCCGGUAGUCCACGCCGUAAACGAUGAUAACUAGCUGUCCGGGGACUUGGUCCUUGGGUGGCGCAGCUAACGCAUUAAGUUAUCCGCCUGGGGGGUACGCCGCAAGGUUAAAACUCAAAUGAAUUGACGGGGUCAUAGCUGUUUCCU
rnacentral:rRNA from 1 species